UACGUAGGCAGCGAGCGUUGUUCGGAGUUACUGGGCGUAAAGGGUGUGUAGGCGGUUGUUUAAGUUUGGUGUGAAAUCUCCCGGCUCAACUGGGAGGGUGCGCCGAAUACUGAGCGACUAGAGUGCGGGAGAGGAAAGUGGAAUUCCUGGUGUAGCGGUGAAAUGCGUAGAUAUCAGGAGGAACACCGGUGGUGUAGACGGCUUUCUGGACCGUAACUGACGCUGAGACACGAAAGCUAGGGGAGCAAACAGG
rnacentral:rRNA from 1 species